rnacentral:rRNA from 1 species
CAGUAGCCACGGGAAUACGAAGGGGGCUAGCGUUGCUCGGAAUGACUGGGCGUAGAGGGCGCGUAGGCGGUUUAUACAGUCAGAUGUGAAAUUCCUGGGCUCAACCUGGGGACUGCAUUUGAUACGUAUGGAUUUGAGUGGAGAAGAGGGUCGUGGAAUUUCCAGUGUAGAGGUGAAAUUCGUAGAUAUUGGAAAGAACACCGGUGGCGAAGGCGGCGACCUGGUCUUUAACUGACGCUGAGGCGCGAAAGCGUGGGGAGCAAACAGGAUUAGAUACCCGCGUAGUCCCUGUCUCUUAUAC